GAUGAACGCUGGCGGCGUGCCUAAUACAUGCAAGUCGAGCGAACAGAUAAGGAGCUUGCUCCUUUGACGUAAGCGGCGGACGGGUGAGUAACACGUGGGUAACCUACCUAUAAGACUGGAAUAACUCCGGGAAACCGGGGCUAAUGCCGGAUAACAUUUAGAACCGCAUGGUUCUAAAGUGAAAGAUGGUUUUGCUAUCACUUAUAGAUGGACCCGCGCCGUAUUAGCUAGUUGGUAAGGUAACGGCUUACCAAGGCAACGAUACGUAGCCGACCUGAGAGGGUGAUCGGCCACACUGGAACUGAGACACGGUCCAGACUCCUACGGGAGGCAGCAGUAGGGAAUCUUCCGCAAUGGGCGAAAGCCUGACGGAGCAACGCCGCGUGAGUGAUGAAGGUCUUCGGAUCGUAAAACUCUGUUAUUAGGGAAGAACAAAUGUGUAAGUAACUGUGCACGUCUUGACGGUACCUAAUCAGAAAGCCACGGCUAACUACGUG
rnacentral:rRNA from 1 species